rnacentral:rRNA from 1 species
UACGGGGGGGGUAAGCGUUGUUCGGAAUUACUGGGCGUAAAGAGCUCGUAGGCGGUUUGUCGCGUCUGCCGUGAAAGUCCGGGGCUCAACUCCGGAUCUGCGGUGGGUACGGGCAGACUAGAGUGAUGUAGGGGAGACUGGAAUUCCUGGUGUAGCGGUGAAAUGCGCAGAUAUCAGGAGGAACACCGAUGGCGAAGGCAGGUCUCUGGGCCGAUACUGACGCUGAGGAGCGAAAGCGUGGGGAGCGAACAGG